GCCGCCUGGCGGGGCACGGUGUUGGGCGCCAGCCCGCCUCGCUGUCUCGGGGUGCCCAGCUAAGUCGGCAGUAAUGCUAACACUGGCAAAGCGGGAUGAUGGUCUCAAAGGGUCCCGGACGCCAGCCGCCUCGACUGACUCCACGCGAAGGGUGUCUGUGAGAGACAAGUUGCUAGUUAAAGAGGUUGCAGAACUUGAAGCUAAUUUACCUUGUACAUGUAAAGUGCAUUUUCCUGAUCCAAACAAGCUACACUGCUUUCAGCUAACCGUAACCCCAGAUGAGGGUUACUACCAGGGUGGAAAAUUUCAGUUUGAAACUGAAGUUCCUGAUGCAUACAACAUGGUGCCUCCCAAAGUGAAGUGCUUGACCAGGAUCUGGCAUCCCAACAUCACAGAGACAGGGGAGAUCUGUCUCAGCUUACUGAGAGAACACUCGAUCGAUGGCACUGGCUGGGCUCCCACGAGAAUGCUGAAGGAUGUUGUUUGGGGGUUGAACUCUUUAUUCACUGAUCUUUUGAAUUUUGAUGAUCCACUGAAUAUCGAAGCUGCAGAACAUCACUUGCGGGACAAGGAGGACUUCCGGAACAAAGUGGACGACUACAUCAAGCGCUACGCCAGAUGAUGAGAGGAGCACACUGUGGCCAGGGACCCCGCGGGCCGCCUCCCGUCCUCGCGCCCCUCAGCCCCGUGGGCUGUCCCUGUCCUGCGGCUGCCCUGCCCUGGCGAAGACAUCCUCCUGACUGCCCACUGUAGCUGGAGAGUGCAGCAUAAAUACAGCAGGAAAG